UAGUAGUAAAUUAAGAAUAGAGAG
rnacentral:piRNA from 1 species